AGUGUUGAUACUCACUCCACCUUCCAGCACGUUCACCAAGCUGCUCAUCAGCUGCCCGUCCUGCGUUGAUCAGCUAUGUCGUCUGCAUCGGCAAUCUGUCGAUGAUUUUGGAUUUCGAUGGCACGUUGGUGGCAGCCGGUGCCGGGCUUGGCGAGAAGGACGGGCAGCUGGUGAGAAGCUUGUUGAACAUGUCUAUGGGUGUGAUGUAUGAUGCU